rnacentral:lncRNA from 1 species
UUGAAUGGGGACAUAUAGUUGGAACCCCCCUUUUUAAAUUGCUGGAUCCGCCACUGAACCUCAUAUAUCUUGAAGGGUAUUUCAAUCAACCACAGCAUGAAAAAUUGAAAGAAAAAAAACAGAAUUAGACUAGAUACUAUUUGAUGCAUGUAAAUUUUUGAUUUAUCAAAAAGAUACAUUUAAAGUAAAGAUAAAAAAGAGAAAGGGUAUGUCAAAUUUGAAGACUCACCCCUUUUUCCCAGGUCUACCCCUUUAAAAAUGGUUUAAGUUUUGGAAACUAUUUAUAGUCA